rnacentral:tRNA from 1 species
UAGGAAAUAGUAUAAUUGGAAGUACAAAGAGUUUUGAUCUCUUAGGAGUAGGUUCAAAUCCUAUUUUUCUAG